AUGGAAGUGAGGAUCCUUUUUCAAGCUGAUCGACUAUAAUUAUAUUGUGCUCAAAUGUAAUCCUUUAUCGGAGGAUUCCAAGCCAGAAAUUUUGAUCCAU
rfam:Triticum aestivum genome assembly, contig: Triticum_aestivum_CS42_TGACv1_scaffold_272457_3DS